AAACACUUCCUAUAGAUGAAACAAUAAAUGAUCAUAAUAGUUGCGUAAUCUUUAAUAUAAUUAAAUUUCCUUCUAAUCCACUCAUUUUAGGUUUAUCAUAAAUAAAAAAAUAUAAUCCUUGUAUAGAUUGGAUUUCAUAUAUCCUUGACUUUUCUAUAAGCGUAAUUAAGAGUGAAAUUAAUCCAAUAGAAAGUCAUAAGUCUAGUACAAUUAAAUCUAUGUUUGUAGGUGUAAGAACUUUCUUG
rnacentral:lncRNA from 1 species